AUUGAACGCUGGCGGCAGGCCUAACACAUGCAAGUCGAGCGGAUGAAGGGAGCUUGCUCCUGGAUUCAGCGGCGGACGGGUGAGUAAUGCCUAGGAAUCUGCCUGGUAGUGGGGGAUAACGUCCGGAAACGGGCGCUAAUACCGCAUACGUCCUGAGGGAGAAAGUGGGGGAUCUUCGGACCGCACGCUAUCAGAUGAGCCUAGGUCGGAUUAGCUAGUUGGUGGGGUAAAGGCCUACCGAGGCGACGAUCCGUAACUGGUCUGAGAGGAUGGUUAGUCACAUUGGAACUGAGACACGGUCCAGACUCCUACGGGAGGCAGCAGUGGGGAAUAUUGGACAAUGGGCGAAAGCAUGAUCCAGCCAUGCCGCGUGUGUGAAGAAGGUCUUCGGAUUGUAAAGCACUUUAAGUUGGGAGGAAGGGCAGUAAGUUAAUACCUUGCUGUUUUGACGUUACCAACAGAAUAAGCACCGGCUAACUUCGUG
rnacentral:rRNA from 1 species